rnacentral:rRNA from 1 species
AACGAACGCUGGCGGCGGGCUUAACACAUGCAAGUCGAGCGCCUCGCAAGAGGAGCGGCAGACGGGUGAGUAACGCGUGGGAACGUACCCUUAUCUUCGGAAUAGCUCUGGGAAACUGGAAGUAAUACCGAAUGUGCCCUUAGGGGGAAAGAUUUAUCGGAUAAGGAUCGGCCCGCGUUGGAUUAGCUAGUUGGUGGGGUAAAGGCCUACCAAGGCGACGAUCCAUAGCUGGUCUGAGAGGAUGAUCAGCCACAUUGGGACUGAGACACGGCCCAAACUCCUACGGGAGGCAGCAGUGGGGAAUAUUGGACAAUGGGCGCAAGCCUGAUCCAGCCAUGCCGCGUGAGUGAUGAAGGCCUUAGGGUUGUAAAGCUCUUUCACCGGAGAAGAUAAUGACGGUAUCCGGAGAAGAAGCCCCGGCUAACUUCGUG